GCAGUUUUACCCAGAAAGAAGUUCUGCAGCUGAUCUGCAUCCUCCCUGGUCUCCACCCAACGCUUCAUGUGUUCUGUGUCUCUUAUGUUCACUUUAUGAGCAACCGGCUUCAGAGCUCUGCUGGAUAAAUCCAAUGUGAUUUAUGAAAAUGACAAUAAGACUCAAACUGCUUUGUCAAACACUGAUGGUCUGAUAUCAGAGCUAAAUCAGACGCUGUAUUUCUCUUUAAGCCGCAUAACGAGGCACGAUGCCUGCUGGAUAGAAGGUAUCACUUGUCCAAACAAGACUGCUGAGAGCAGCUGGACUGCUGAGAGCAGCUGGCCUGCACGACUUUGGGCUUAUUGAAUCGUAGAAGCCAAAACAUCCCAAAACUCCCAUCCAGGGUUUUCAGUGUUGGUGACCUAUCGUGUUUCCUCUGAAGACCUCAGCCUACUGUUUCAUAUCCUCGCUGACUGACACUGGGAGCGGUUUGCUGGCUGCUCGACUCCUGGAUUUCUUUGAUGGUCCUUGGCCAGGCUGCCAAAAAUUCACGUUUUAAUCCCUAACAGCUGACAAAGGAACAGGACUGCUCAGCAUUAGAUCAAGGAAGAGCUGCUCACUGGAAUGUACUGACGUGAUAAGACCCAUAAUGCAGCAGAUUUUAUUAUUAUUUUUUAAAUGUUGUUCCCUUGUCUGAAAAAAGUCCAAAAAUUCAGCAAAAAAUCCCCAAAUUUUUAAAAAUUUGCUAAAUCUUCAGGGUCCGUGUACGGAUCUGGUAAUUGGAUUUUCCGUUCUGAAACGGGUAUUGAAAAACAAAAAACGAGUGGUUAUUUGAUUUUCGUUUUAAAAUACAAAAAUUAAAAUUGAAAAACAAGGCGUUGUUCCUUUUCAUGAUCAAAAAGGGAUAUGCGAUUUAAAAAAAAAUGCUUUGAUUUUCGUUUUAUAUUUAGAAUAACAAGAAAGUAAAAUCAGUAAGAGACAGAAACGAAAGAAGGUCCGUUUUUUCAUUUACUGAGACCGGAAAUGGUCAUCAGCAAGUGUGGAGCCAAACAGAGUACGGUGCAUACACUGUAUAUAAAUUUUUUUUUCGUGAGUUUUCAUGGUCAAAAUGAGAGAUCAGGAGGCCGAUCUUAAAAUAAAUCAAUAUUGAUGUUUUUUUUUUUUUAUAGAGCGUUAAAGUAUUACGAAGCCAGGGGGCGGGACUACUUGAUUGACAGUCCGGUCUGGAAUGAUUGACAGGUCCUAUGGAGGAGGCAGCAGACCCUCUGCUCUCCUCGUUUGGAUUAAUUCUGAUAUAAUAAAUGUUGGUUUAUUUAUCGGUGGAGCAGCAGAACAUUUUCCACAGACAGCUUUCCUGCCCGUUGGCUUGUUUUAACCAGUUUUCUACCUUCGGCUGAUUCUACCAGCAGACACUGAAAGGACUCUGAUAGUUCGAGUGAAAGUAGCAGUUCCUCCUUAAGGUCAGAGAUUGCAGCAUCUGAGGGCCUCUUCAAAAGAAGACGUAGUUGAUGAAGGUGUUCUGGAGCAGGACCAGAAAGACCACGACCAAGCAGCCUUGAGAUCUUAGGCAGCAUCUCCCUCAGACAUCCACCAACCACUGGAACACAUCUCCAAAGUUCUGCCAGGCCAGCUCAGCUUCCCCUCAGAAGAAGUGCCGCCACCUGCCAGAUGAAGGAGCCUUUUGAGAAGCAGCUGGCAUCGUGAUUGGACUGUACUUUGGUCUGUUCCAAUCCAGCUUCAGCUCCAGAGACGGCAGGCGGGACGAGUCAACGGAGGCCGGGUGGACGAAGGCAUGCAGCUGAGUACAAUCCAGAAAACAACAGAGGAGGA